ACGCGUGGAACCUUACCAGGUCUUGACAUCCUCUGACACUCCUAGAGAUAGGACGUUCCCCUUCGGGGGACAGAGUGACAGGUGGUGCAUGGUUGUCGUCAGCUCGUGUCGUGAGAUGUUGGGUUAAGUCCCGCAACGAGCGCAACCCUUGAUCUUAGUUGCCAGCAUUAAGUUGGGCACUCUAAGGUGACUGCCGGUGACAAACCGGAGGAAGGUGGGGAUGACGUCAAAUCAUCAUGCCCCUUAUGACCUGGGCUACACACGUGCUACAAUGGAUGGUACAAAGGGCAGCAAAGCGGCGACGCCUAGCAAAUCCCAUAAAACCAUUCUCAGUUCGGAUUGUAGGCUGCAACUCGCCUACAUGAAGCUGGAAUCGCUAGUAAUCGCGGAUCAGCAUGCCGCGGUGAAUACGUUCCCGGGCCUUGCACACACCGCCCGU
rnacentral:rRNA from 1 species